GGGGGCGACCUGGCUUUCGACGCCGGUUGCGAAUCUGGAGGUGCAUGCCGAGGAAGUAGUACUCCUCGUUAAAUAAGACUGCAAAUUUAUAGUCGCAAACGACGACAACUUCGCUCUAGCUGCUUAAAAACCAGUCGUAGAGUCGUCCGCCCGGUUGAGCUUGCGCGAUCGGAUCCGGGCGUCACCUUAGCAAGCUCGUGACAAAAUCUGCCUGAGGUGGAGUCACUAAAACAAUUUUCAGGCUCGCGGUUAAACGUCCUGCUCGUCGGUCGCUAACUGUAAAAUUAAAAGACGAAACUAAGCAUGUAGUACCAAGAGUGCAGGACUGACGGACGCGGGUUCAAUUCCCGCCGCCUCCACCA
rnacentral:tmRNA from 1 species